rnacentral:rRNA from 1 species
CGGAUGAACGCUAGCGGCAGGCUUAACACAUGCAAGUCGAGGGGUAACAGGUCUUCGGACGCUGACGACCGGCAAACGGGUGCGGAACACGUACGCAAUCUACCCUUAUCUUGGGGAUAGCCCACUGAAAGUGGGUUAAUACCCGAUAGGAUUAUAGUUUGGCAUCAAACAGUAAUUAAAGAUUUAUUGGAUAGGGAUGAGCGUGCGUAAGAUUAGGUAGUUGGUGAGGUAACGGCUCACCAAGCCAACGAUCUUUAGCUGAUGUGAGAGCAUGAUCAGCCACAUGGGCACUGAGACACGGGCCCAACUCCUACGGGAGGCAGCAGUGAGGAAUAUUGGUCAAUGGACGAAAGUCUGAACCAGCCAUGCCGCGUGAAGGAUGAAGGCGUUCUGCGUUGUAAACUUCUUUUAUCAGGGAAGAAACCACCGUAUUCUUAUGGUGUUGACGGUACCUGAGGAAUAAGCACCGGCUAACUCCGUG